rnacentral:rRNA from 1 species
CUACGGGUCGCUCCAGUGGGGAAUAUUGCACAAUGGAGGAAACUCUGAUGCAGCAACGCCGCGUGGAGGAUGACACUUUUCGGAGCGUAAACUCCUUUUAUAUAGGAAGAUAAUGACGGUACUAUAUGAAUAAGCACCGGCUAACUCCGUGCCAGCAGCCGCGGUAAUACGGAGGGUGCAAGCGUUACUCGGAAUCACUGGGCGUAAAGAGCGUGUAGGCGGGUUAAUAAGUCAGAAGUGAAAUCCAAUGGCUCAACCAUUGAACUGCUUUUGAAACUGUUAACCUAGAAUAUGGGAGAGGUAGAUGGAAUUUCUGGUGUAGGGGUAAAAUCCGUAGAGAUCAGAAGGAAUACCGAUUGCGAAGGCGAUCUACUGGAACAUUAUUGACGCUGAGACGCGAAAGCGUGGGGAGCAAACAGGAUUAGAUACCCCUGUAGUC